rnacentral:rRNA from 1 species
GACGAACGCUGGCGGCGUGCUUAACACAUGCAAGUCGAACGGUGAAGCGCCUUCCUUUUUGGUGGGUGUGGAUGAGUGGCGAACGGGUGAGUAACUCGUGAGUAACCUGCCCCCUUCUUCUGGAUAACCGCAUGAAAGUGUGGCUAAUACGGGAUAUUCUGGGUCUGUCGCAUGAUGGGUCUGGGAAAGAUAUUGUUUCGGUGGGGGAUGGGCUCGCGGCCUAUCAGCUUGUUGGUGGGGUGAUGGCCUACCAAGGCGGUGACGGGUAGCCGGCCUGAGAGGGUGGACGGUCACACUGGGACUGAGACACGGCCCAGACUCCUACGGGAGGCAGCAGUGGGGAAUAUUGCACAAUGGGCGCAAGCCUGAUGCAGCGACGCCGCGUGAGGGAUGGAGGCCUUCGGGUUGUGAACCUCUUUCGCCAGUGAAGCAGGCCUGCCUCGUUUGUGGGUGGGUUGACGGUAGCUGGAGAAGAAGCGCCGGCUAACUACGUG